rnacentral:rRNA from 1 species
GAUGAACGCUGGCGGCGUGCCUAAUACAUGCAAGUCGAGCGAACGGACGAGAAGCUUGCUUCUCUGAUGUUAGCGGCGGACGGGUGAGUAACACGUGGAUAACCUACCUAUAAGACUGGGAUAACUUCGGGAAACCGGAGCUAAUACCGGAUAAUAUUUUGAACCGCAUGGUUCAAAAGUGAAAGACGGUCUUGCUGUCACUUAUAGAUGGAUCCGCGCUGCAUUAGCUAGUUGGUAAGGUAACGGCUUACCAAGGCAACGAUGCAUAGCCGACCUGAGAGGGUGAUCGGCCACACCGGAACUGAGACACGGUCCAGACUCCUACGGGAGGCAGCAGUAGGGAAUCUUCCGCAAUGGGCGAAAGCCUGACGGAGCAACGCCGCGUGAGUGAUGAAGGUCUUCGGAUCGUAAAACUCUGUUAUUAGGGAAGAACAUAUGUGUAAGUAACUGUGCACAUCUUGACGGUACCUAAUCAGAAAGCCACGGCUAACUACGUA